AGGACGAACGCUGGCGGCGUGCUUAACACAUGCAAGUCGAGCGGAAAGGCCCUUCGGGGUACUCGAGCGGCGAACGGGUGAGUAACACGUGAGUAAUCUGCCCCUAGCUCUGGGAUAGCUCCGGGAAACCGGGAUUAAUACCGGAUACGACCACCUUAGACAUCUUUUGUGGUGGAAAGAAUUUCGGCUAGGGAUGAGCUCGCGGCCUAUCAGCUUGUUGGUGGGGUAACGGCCUACCAAGGCGACGACGGGUAGCCGGCCUGAGAGGGCGACCGGCCACACUGGGACUGAGACACGGCCCAGACUCCUACGGGAGGCAGCAGUGGGGAAUAUUGCGCAAUGGGCGAAAGCCUGACGCAGCGACGCCGCGUGGGGGAUGAAGGCCUUCGGGUUGUAAACCCCUUUCAGCAGGGACGAAGCGAAAGUGACGGUACCUGCAGAAGAAGCGCCGGCUAACGUACGUGCCAGCAGCCGC
rnacentral:rRNA from 1 species